UUUUAUGGAGAGUUUGAUCCUGGCUCAGGAUGAACGCUGGCGGCGUGCCUAAUACAUGCAAGUCGAGCGAACGGACGAGAAGCUUGCUUCUCUGAUGUUAGCGGCGGACGGGUGAGUAACACGUGGAUAACCUACCUAUAAGACUGGGAUAACUUCGGGAAACCGGAGCUAAUACCGGAUAAUAUUUUGAACCGCAUGGUUCAAAAGUGAAAGACGGUCUUGCUGUCACUUAUAGAUGGAUCCGCGCUGCAUUAGCUAGUUGGUAAGGUAACGGCUUACCAAGGCAACGAUGCAUAGCCGACCUGAGAGGGUGAUCGGCCACACUGGAACUGAGACACGGUCCAGACUCCUACGGGAGGCAGCAGUAGGGAAUCUUCCGCAAUGGGCGAAAGCCUGACGGAGCAACGCCGCGUGAGUGAUGAAGGUCUUCGGAUCGUAAAACUCUGUUAUUAGGGAAGAACAUAUGUGUAAGUAACUGUGCACAUCUUGACGGUACCUAAUCAGAAAGCCACGGCUAACUA
rnacentral:rRNA from 1 species